rnacentral:rRNA from 1 species
GACGAACGCUGGCGGCGUGCUUAACACAUGCAAGUCGAACGAAGUGGCGAACGGGUGAGUAACGCGUAAUCAACCUGCCCUUCAGAGGGGGACAACAGUUGGAACCGACUGCUAAUACCGCAUACUGAAGGAGGGGAUUGCGUCUGAUUAGCUAGGUGGAGGGGUAACGGCCCACCAAGGCGAGGAUCCGUAGCCGGUCCGGGAGGAUGAACGGCCACAUUGGGACUGGGACACGGCCCAGAAUCCUUCGGGGGGCAGCAGUGGGGAAUCUUCCGCAAUGGACGAAAGGCUGACGGAGCAACGCCGCGGGAGGGAUGACGGCCUUCGGGUUGUAAAGCUCUGUUAAUCGGGACGCGGUACCGGAAUAGAAAGCAACGGCUAACUACGUGCCAGCCGCCGCGGUAAUAC